CUCAAUGGUGGGAUCGGGCGGGGGCGUCGUAAGACGCGCCGGUUUCCUGUAACGCCGGUAAUGCCAACUCCGCCCGGUUCCACCACCCGU
rnacentral:antisense_RNA from 1 species